rnacentral:rRNA from 1 species
GAUGAACGCUAGCGGCAGGCCUAACACAUGCAAGUCGAGGGGUAGAGUUCUUCGGAACUUGAGACCGGCGCACGGGUGCGUAACGCGUAUGCAAUCUACCUUAUACAGGGGAAUAGCCCCAGAGAAAUUUGGAUUAAUGCCCCAUAGUGUUAUCGAAUCGCAUGGUUUGAUAACUAAAGUUCCAACGGUAUAAGAUGAGCAUGCGUCCCAUUAGUUAGUUGGUAAGGUAACGGCUUACCAAGACAAUGAUGGGUAGGGGUCCUGAGAGGGAGAUCCCCCACACUGGUACUGAGACACGGACCAGACUCCUACGGGAGGCAGCAGUGAGGAAUAUUGGUCAAUGGGCGCAAGCCUGAACCAGCCAUGCCGCGUGCAGGAAGACGGUCCUAUGGAUUGAAACUGCUUUUANACAGGAAGAAACCCUCCCACGUGUGGGAGCUUGACGGUACUGUAGGAAUAAGGAUCGGCUAACUCCGUGCCAGCAGCCGCGGUAAAGUCGU